UUAAAUAUAUAAUAGUAAACAAAGUGUAGGGACGCAGUGGUUUCUUACAUGGUUAUUUACCAACUGCUAUCACUGGUAAUGGAAAAAAAAGCAACUACUCUGUACUUGGGAAGAUUUUUUUUCCUAUUCUGUGUCUAGCAGUUACUGAAAGAUGCAAGAAAGAGUAUUCUUUUUGAAGCCAUAACAAUUUGGUAAGAGCUUGGCUGGCAUUUAAUUUUUUACACUUUUGAGACCCAAAUAACACUAAUGGAAAUUUAAUAACACCUUUUGAACUGUGAGUUUGCUAUUGGAAAAGAAAAACAUUCUUUGCAUAGAAAAGUGUGUUUUCUGAUCUUGGUUUUCCACUUCUGAAAAUAAUUAUGUGAUAUUUUGCUUUCUAGUCCAGCCCCUUGUACUGAGGAGACUGAACAGUUAAGCAAUUUUUCAGAGAAUUGGCUGCUUUAAUUAUUUGAGAUUAUAGUAAAGAUUUUAUAGUAUAGAGAUUAUAGUAUAGAUUGUAAAAUACAUCAGAUUUGAUACAGAAAUAUUCCUAUAAAUUAGCAAUGCCUUUUGACCUUUUUAUCUUGUACAUUUUUCCUUGAAGCCCCCAUAUGCUGUGGUCUUGAGCAUCUUGUUUGUCCAGGAGUCUUGGAUUCUCUACAAGGUUACACUGCUAAAUUCUUCCGGUAUUUGAGGGAUGGAAGAAACACUGUGUGGUGUGUGUGUGUUUGUGCUGGAGAAAGGAGGGGAGACCAAUGUAUCCUGACACCAAACCAGGACUUUUGGCCUUUGAUGAACAGCUGAAAAGACCAUCCCUUGUGCACAGGUACAAACACUGUUUGUUUGUAGUGAUGCUGCUCUUCAACUUGCAGCAAACUCUUGUCCAGCUCUAUUCCAUACUACUAUGCCUAUAAAUUAGACUUAGUUGAUGAAAAAUGUAGAAGGUGAGUGCAGGUAGCAGAAGAAACAUUGUAUCAGCAGAAGGCCCAUGGGCAGCUUGCAGCAAGAGUUUAAGUGGCAGUGGGAUUAAUCCACUGAAGUAGAGGGGCUGAACUAGGCCAUGGAGCAAUGCCCAUCCUGAUUAGAAGUGGUCUCACUUCUGCCCAGUGGCUGCUUAAACAUGGUCAGGCUUUUGUGUAAGAGCAGGGGAAGGGCACAGAGGGCACAGAUCGGGCCGUGCACUGUGGAGCUGUGCAAGGAAAAAUAGCAGCCUGGGACAUGUGACUGCAGGAGCUGCUGCAUUAUAGUCAAGCACAUCUGGUUCUAGUGAAAAUGCUGCCAAAGUCUUGCUUUUAUAGAUUCACCAAGUUCUAAAGGGAUACUAUUAAGUUCAGAAGGGGAGUGCAGCUCUGCAGCUUUAAAAGUUUACAGUAGGAAACUGUUACAGGAGGGCUAAAAAUAAUGUCUGUGUCUAAGAGAAAAAUGGGAACCAAAACAUUGGGAAGAGGUGCUCUCAGCGUGCAGAACUUUUUUCUGUAUCUGAGCAUUAUGUUAUGUGGGAAUGAUAACUGACUUUAGCAAAAAAAAAAUCCUUUCAUUAUUGUUUUGCUAUAAAUACUACAGAAAAAUAUGAUUCAAAUGGGAAGAGCAUAUAAAGAUCAAGUAAGUAAAUUUUAGAAUUAAGUGGUGGCUGUUGGUGGAGCCUUGAAAAUUGUUAGAAAAACUUUCAGCUGAAGGCACAAUGACUAUAAAGUGCAACAAAUAUAAAACUGAACAUGUUUUAUUCAUAUUUGUAGAAGAAUGUACACAUAAACCUGCAGGAAAUAAGCAAUACCAGCAUGUCUGACAGGUAGAGGGACAGGUCUGUGUGUGGCACAGAGGAUGGCCAUGGGAAUUGAAUGGAAGAAAACCACCCUUACUCUCACGUCUCAUGUUCUGAUCCACUUUUCUGUCAUGUCCUUAAAUAGAGACAUUUUAAGCAUUAAAGGUCACCCUCAUCCUACUGAACUUCAUAGGAAUUUUUGCUGGGAAUUAUGUUCUAGUUACUCUGAGGAGUUGGACCUGAGCCUUGGAGAUGGAAGUAUAAAAAUACUGCAAGUGACUAGCAUAAUUAGCUAAUGUUUCAAUAUUCUGAACUCUAAUUUACCAAAUGUCCCCAAACAUUUGAUACUGAUUUAAUGCAGAUAUCUAUCUCUGCCAAUUCAACCAACUUUAGUUGGAUAUUAAGUGUCUAGCCUUCCUCUUAAGUUCUUUGCCAAUGAUGGAGCUGUAAAUAUGCUAAUUUGUGUACCACGAAAUCCAAAAUGUUGUUCUACUGUUCCCCAUCCCAUCCUUUCGUUCUUGCUCAGCCCUCAUUGCUUCUGCCUUCCAGACUGCAGAAAGCCACUGGUCUUUCAGUGCUAAUCCUAGUGGAGAACUCUUGCUUUGAGCUUGGUGUUUUCUUGAAGUUCUGCUUCUUCCUUCUCCUAAAGCAACUUAAUUAAUUUCUCAAGGAUGGGCAACAGGGAGAAAGAAAGAGCAAGGUCCCACUCCUCUGUUAUUUCCAGAUAAGAGUCCCAGUCCUGUCUGACAUCCAAGGAGAAAAGCUCACACAGUGCUCUUGGAGAAGGUCCAUGGCAGAGUUUUCCCAGAAACAGGUGAACAAAACUGUUGGGAGAGUAUGUAAUAAAAAAGGCCAGGAGUCUCUCAGAGAAGGGUUUGGGAGGCAGUGACUGGGAAGGGAGUGGGGAGAGCUUGGUCUUCAAAAUUGUAAUUGCAAGCUCUUGUGGACUACAGCAGGGAACGUCCAGAUUGCCUUUGAACUGGUAUUCUCAGGACCAACAGACCAACACAAAAAACCAAACACUACCAACACUAUUACUGAAAUCACUGCCUUAGCUUUUUUACUUAUGUAACACAAUUGAAAGUUACCUUCUUACGCAUCUGGUGACACAGUCACUCUCAAUCAAGCUCUUAUUUGCCUAGUCUAAGCAAUGUAUUCAGAAAAUACUUAACAAGUUUGUGGAACUUUUUCCCAAAGCUCAGUUUUGCAAGUGUUAAAAGCUUUUAACACUGCUCAUGACAAUAUGAUUCCACAUACAGUGUUUAAGAUUUUUAAAAAAAGUACCCUGAACUGGAAUACUCAGCAUCUCUAGGCACAUUUCUUCUCCUGACUAUUUUUUCUUUUCUUUUCUUAAUCCAGAAUAAAUGUUUAAAGAGCUACCACAGUGGCUUUGGGUGGUCCAAGUUGCACACGAGUCAAGCAAGGUUAGUGUGCUACAUGGACCUACUGCAGGGACUCAAGUGAAGGGUCAGAAAGAUGAUAAAAGUGUAAAGAAAAGGAGAUGACUGGAGCAUCUGUCCUGUGAGAAAAAGCUGAAUUGGAACUGUUCAAUCUGGAGAAGAUAAGGCUCAGAAGAUAAGACUCAUCAUCUAGCAGUACCUGAAGGGAGGGUAGGAGAAGGGAGCCAGGCUCCUGACAGUGUAAAGGACCAGAGGCAAGAAGCACAAAGUGGAACAGAGGAGGUGUUAUCUGAACAUCAGGAAAUGCUGUUAUUGUGAGGGCAAUCAAACACUAGCACAGGUUGCCCAGAGAGGCUGUAGAGUCUCCUUCCCUGGAGAUAAAAAAGCCAUUUGGACACAGUUCUGGACAAAGUCCUAGAGAACAAGCUCUAGCUAAUUCUGCUUCAGCUGGGUCACUUCCACCCUCAAUUAACCUGGGAGAAUAGAAUGAAUAAAAUGAAUUGAUUUUAAAUACAAGGCAGAGUUCUGCUUCUUGUCAUCUUAGCUCCUGCCACCUCAGCCCAAUGGGACACUGUGGUACUCCUAAAUGGAAAUCCACACACAGGAACUUAACAUAUUUCAGAACUUAACCUUCAGGCUGUCAAAGGCUUUUUGUGCUACUGCAGGAAGAGCAAGAUAAGUAGUGAAAGGGAAACAGAGUAAGCCUAGCUGCUGUCACCUGGCAUUUCUAAGAGAACAGAAAAUUAUUACAGAUACUAAUUUUUUCCAAACUGGUCUUAAGAUGGCUUAUAAGACCUUCAAGUCAUUUCUCUCCCUCCUCAAUUCAGUGGCUAGGAGAGAGGUUUCUUCUCAGCUCUCAAGACCUUUUUCCAGCUGCCACCUUAUUUGUCUUUUCAGCACUGGGCAGCUCUCAGGUCACAGUGUAAGAGCUUUGCUCUCUGUCUGCAGGAGAGAUGGUUCUGCACAGUUCCUCAGCAGAGACCUUCAGCACAAGGGGGAAGAGCUCACAGCAGCAUUAAACCAAAUACUGGCUUUAAAACCUUUCUUUCAAGCUCUCAGAGACAGCAUCCAUGUAUUUACAGGAAGUUUUAUGCAGGACAGCAAAACUGCAGCCAUGGUAAAGGAGCGAUUAGUGGAUGUCAGCCAUCACCAGCUACUGUCAGGGUUACAAAGGUCAUAAAGACAGGAAAGCAUCUGAGCUGUUACAGGAAUUAAAUAAAUGGGAUACAAAUUGUUGUUAAAGGACUGCUGGGUCCUUAACAAAUCCAGUGGCUACAGCAGUGCUUGGCUGAGAAAGCAAGGCUUGCAGCAAUACUCUGAAUGAACAGGAAUAAGAAUGGAGGUCCUGGGAUCCACACCUGAACUGAAAGAAAAAAAAUCCACAAAACCCUAUAUUGAAAAAGCCACAAAAAUCAGCAAUUCAAUUCAAUCACCAAGAUUCAAGUUAACAUAAAACUAUUUCUUGAGGACAUAAAUAUUCUCUUCUUGUGUAGCCAAAAAACAGCCUAGCUCUGCUAUUACAAAAAGGCCUAAUACAACAAACUACUGUAAAGCAAUAGCACUAGGACUCCUUAUAUGCUUCUCAUUCCAUUACCAAUAUUAUAGAGGACAUGUUACAGAGAGAUCUUACAAGAUUCAAAUUGAUUCACCUCUAUGCACCAGAGGCUUAUAGGAAUAACAGAUAAAAACAUGAUUUAUUACACUGUACAAACUGGAUUCAGAACAAGCAAGUGCAGAAUAUGGUACAUGAUUUAUUUUUUCUGUACAUUACAUAUUGUUAAAUUUCAUUGACAAAUCCAAAACUUCCAUAAUUUUUCCUUUACCUGCUUAAGCCAAGCAAUUUAUUUUUUUUUUCUACAGGAUAGAACAAAACAGCUUCCUGGAAAAUUUAUGAACUGAUUAACUUGGCAGAAGAUGCUCCAGCUCAGACUGACUUUCAGUGUUUCUCAUAGCCUGUCAGGUUAGAACCUCAGUUGGCAGCAUAGUGUUCUGCCACUGUACCAGUCUAGAAACAAGCAACUACAUUCUCAUUAAAUUUCAAUAAUGUCUUCUUCUUAGAAGAUGAAUUAAUGCAGUUGCACUUGUAGACAUUCCAAACAGUAUAAAUGAAGGCUGUAGCUACCAUCAGAAAGAAUUCCAGUAGCCCCAGAUUGGUCUCACGAGUUCUGCAAGAUGUGCUAAGAUAGAUUAAAUGCUUAAUAAAGUUCUUAAGAAAAAUAAAUAUUUUUGCAUAAUGUAUGUACAAAAAUUGGUUGAUUUCCUUCAUUCAUACGGGUUCAACAGCAGAUAUAACUUCAGUUAUAUUUUACUCACUAGCUCAUAAUAGAUAAUGCCACCUUCAUUAUGAUGUAGUAAGAGUCUAAGAGAAUAUUGACCUAUUCUUUAUAAUAGUGCAAAUUAUAUGGAGGUGUUUUGAAAACCAUGGCUUAUAGAAAGAAGGAUUAACAAAAAAAC